rnacentral:rRNA from 1 species
UACGGAGGGGGCUAGCGUUGUUCGGAAUUACUGGGCGUAAAGCGCACGUAGGCGGCUUUGUAAGUUAGAGGUGAAAGCCCAGGGCUUAACCCUGGAAUUGCCUUUAAGACUGCAUCGCUAGAAUCGUGGAGAGGUGAGUGGAAUUCCGAGUGUAGAGGUGAAAUUCGUAGAUAUUCGGAAGAACACCAGUGGCGAAGGCGACUCACUGGACACGUAUUGACGCUGAGGUGCGAAAAGCGUGGGGAGCAAACAGG